CUCUCUCUCUGAUCCAGGAUCCCAUCUGAUCUUUGAUGCCUGGAUGGCUAGAUCAAUGGAGCUCCAACGCCAUCCCCAUUUGCUGGGCUCAUAUGAUUAUUUUAUCCCUCCUCCCUCUCUCUCUCUCUCUCUAAGCUCCCGGGUUCCAUCACAUUUAGCUAGGUGUAUUUAAAUUGAUUGCUUGAUUAUUGCUUUAAACUUUACAUAUACUUCAUAUUUCCUUUGACCGAUUUGUAUUAUCGUGUUAGUCAUAUAUUGGCUACCUGUGCAUCCUGUGAUUUCAAAAAAAACUAAUGACUACCAUUUCUCUGUUCAUAAACUUCAUCGGUCCUCCCAUCCAAAAUUUAUGAUGAAGAACGAUGUAGCUAAAUUUUGAUGAAACACCAUGUAAAUUGAAAAUUUAAGAUUGAUUUUGUUACAUAAAUCAAAUGAAAUCAUGAGAUUUUUUCCUGUUUCUGCAUCGUUUUAAGCAUGGCAUAUUCUGAUCAUUUAUAUUCACAACCAUGUUACAAAAUAUAAAUAUAUGUGUGCCUUCUAAUUGAAGCCUGAAAAUAUGCCUAAAUAUUGCCAUCUUGGUUGCUUUUCAGCAUAUAUCAGUUUCUUUUAAGAACAAUUGGGGGAGCACCACUAUAGCUCUGUUUCUUCCUGAGAUAUGUUUUGUUUCUUACAUGUUGUUCAGUGCAUGUGGGCAUGUUAGGGCCUGCAGAAGUGGAUUAUUUGCUAAGGCUAUGUUCCUGGACAUUGUCAAAUUAAACACAUGACUGAAUUCUAUUUCGAUUUUAAAAAGUUCAGUUUGAUGUCAUUGGAAAGGUCGGCAUUCUAAAGAAUGCGACCUUGCUGGGUUUCUGUAGUUUGGUAAGGCCAAAAUUCCUCACAGAUUGACCAUUGAGGUGUUCUAAUUAUUGUUUCAUGUUAAGCCAAUAUGAUAUUGCAUAUUAGCAUUUAAUAAUUAAAGAUUGUGAAUCUCAUACAAACUUGCAAGUUUAACUUAGCAUACAUCAAUGUGCAUGUACAAGGCAAGGAGAUGUAUAGAACUGAAAGCUGCUUCCUUUUCAUAUUUGCCGUAAAAUUUAGCCGGUGCGGUAACAUAAUUUAGAUUUGUCACAGAUUGCCAGCUAGAUUUAAAUGUUGGAGUCCAUUUUGUUUUUCUUUCUUUCCUAUGCAGGAACUUAUUUUUGAUUGUACAACUUCUUUCAAAAAUUCAAGGUUAGUUCUCUCUGUAUAUACAUUUAUAUUUUCAUUUUGACACUUUAUGUUUACUUUCCCUUCCUGCUAUCUGAAUGAUAUUUGUCCAUUAUUUUUGAGUAGUUAUAUUACCGACGGUAGCUUUUUAAGAAUAUAUAAAGUUAUUAUUAUAAAUCUAUAGCUCUUAAACAUCUCAUGCACCUUCCUGUAUCUAUUAAGAUGCAUAUCUGUACCUUAUGUUUUAUCAAAUUGCAUUGCUGAUUCUACUCUUUUUUAUACAUUUGGCUGUCAUAAAGAGUAAAUGUGAUGUGCAUAUCUCAAGUCCAUGCAGUUUUGUGAGAUACCAGAUAUGACCAGUUUUGAUCUUGAUGUAACUGCUUUUGGCUCAACUGGCCUAUCAACAUGAUAACAUUCAGAGUUUAGGAUCCACCAUAUCUUGCUUUAGUCACGUGAGAGUUGUAAUUUUUUUCUUUUGGCAAAUUAUAUUUUUUUGGAAUAUUAUCUUGAAGAUAAAUAAGCAUUUACUUCCUCUUAUUUGUCUCAGCCUGGGCUUGAGUGCUUGCAAAGACGUGGUCAUAUCUUCAAUGCCUAUUCAUAUGAGAGGUGCUAUAUUUACUGAUCAUAAUAGAUUCAACUGAAAUGCUCCAAGAUAGAGAUCAUGAUGCCAGCACCAUAAUUGUCACAUUAUGCCAGCACCAUAAUUAUCAUUAUUUUUAUGUUCUUGGUAAUGUCGUCAUUAUAAUUUUAAGAGAUGAAGUGCUUAUGGCCUAUUGACAACUGAUUUUAUUUCCAAUGGCUUCCUCCUGCACUUCUGCCUUAGACCUUUGAAUAUGAUUGUCGGUGGCAAAUAGGAACCUGCAUUACAAAUAUUACCAAUCAUUUUCUCCCCUGCACCACUCAAAUAUCAGAUACUUUCCUAUAGUUCAAAAGAGUUGGGUUGCAAAAUUGCGUCAGGAAGGUAUAUACAUAUUCCUUUUGCUUGAUCUUGAGUUUUUUCAUUACAAGUUGGUGUUGCCACUGUGUUGCUAUAUGAUUGAAGCACCCUAUCGUUCCAAAAUACAGAAAACAUAGGGGCGAAUUUUCCAUUGCUGAAACAGGUUUAUCUCCAUUGUUUAAUUUGAUGUUGGAGGUUUGACAUUAGCAUAUACAGUAAAGUUUAUCUAACAAUAGUUUGAUCCUUGCUUAUUUGAUUCAGUUCCAUUAGAGUGUAUAUUACAACUUUACAAGUUUACAUGUGCAUUGCUGCUGGUUCAUCAAAGGAUUUUUUCUCUCUACAUGUUGUGUUGGUUGCUAAUCGAAGGCAUAAAGUCUCUUAAAGUCUCUGCUUCGAGAUAGUUUGUCAUAUGUAUCUUUUUUCAUGCUUCAAAUCAAAAUAUUUAUGUACGAAUGUACGGGAAAAUGAUCAUUUGUAGUAUUUUUCCUGUUACAUUAGCCAUCUAUUAAAUUUGAUGAAACUGUAAACACACCUGCUUUAUAUAAACAAAGAACUACCACAUUUAUUUUCA